CGGGUGCACUGAUCCAGCCGGGCCUUUCCCUCUGUGGAACCCCAUGGCCUUCACUGGCUGUGGUGGGGAAACAGGACUUUUACUUUGAAAAAAUUAGAGUGCUCCAGGCAGGCCUAUGCUCGAAUACAUUAGCAUGGAAUAAUAGAAUAGGACGUGUGGUUCUAUUUUGUUGGUUUCUAGGACCGCCGUAAUGAUUAAUAGGGACAGUCGGGGGCAUCAGUAUUCAAUUGUCAGAGGUGAAAUUCUUGGAUCUAUUGAAGACUAACUACUGCGAAAGCAUUUGCCAAGGAUGUUUUCAUUGAUAAGGAACGAAAGUUAGGGGAUCGAAGACGAUCAGAUACCGUCGUAGUCUUAACUAUAAACUAUGCCGACUAGGGAUCGGACGAUGUUAUUCUUUGACGCGUUCGGCACCUUUCGAGAAAUCAAAGUGCUUGGGCUCCAGGGGGAGUAUGGUCGCAAGGCUGAAACUUAAAGAAAUUGACGGAAGGGCACCACCAGGGGUGGAACCUGCGGCUUAAUUUGACUCAACACGGGGAAACUCACCAGGUCCAGACACAGUGAGGAUUGACAGAUUGAGAGCUCUUUCUUGAUUCUGUGGGUGGUGGUGCAUGGCCGUUCUUAGUUGGUGGAGUGAUUUGUCUGCUUAAUUGCGAUAACGAACGAGUCCUUAACCUGCUAAAUAGCCCGUACUGCUUUGGCAGUUCGCCGGCUUCUUAGAGGGACUAUCGG
rnacentral:rRNA from 1 species